UACAGAGGGGGCAAGCGUUGUUCGGAAUUACUGGGCGUAAAGGGCGCGUAGGCGGCCUGUUAAGUCGAACGUGAAAUCUCUGGGCUCAACCCAGAGACUGCUUCCGAAACUGCUGUGCUUGAGUGUGAGAGAGGCUCGUGGAAUUGCAGGUGUAGCGGUGAAAUGCGUAGAUAUCUGCAGGAACACCCGUGGCGAAAGCGGCGAGCUGGAUCACUACUGACGCUGAGGAACGAAAGCUAGGGGAGCAAACAGG
rnacentral:rRNA from 1 species